AUCGCUUCUCGGCCUUUUGGCUAAGAUCAAGUGUAAUUUC
rnacentral:snRNA from 1 species